AUGAUAGUUUGUUUGGAAUUAUUGCUCUCUGGAGGUGACUGGCGUUGGUCAAGACACGGGUUUGUUGGUCAGUUUAGGACAGGCCCUGGUGCGUUGAAGUUAUAUUGUGUGUGUUCGAGUUGGAGUGGUGUUUGCUUCUCACCGAGCUGUGAUGGAAGCUUGCUUGAAUUUCUUGUAUUUUAUCAUCUGCCUUCUAUAAAAUUAAGGCACUCAAGUUGCAGGUUAAAAAAAAGAUGGACCAAAAUGAUAAUCCGAACAACUGUUCUUAUAAAGCUAUGGUUCGGUGAAGAGCAGCUCAAAGCGAUCAAAAAUCAAUCUUUUCUUAUUCUUUUACAACUAGACUAG
rnacentral:rRNA from 1 species